rnacentral:rRNA from 1 species
AAUCAACGCUGGCGGCGUGCCUCAGACAUGCAAGUCGAACGAUUAAAGCUCUCUUCGGAGAGUGCAUAGAGUGGCGCACGGGUGAGUAACACGUAAGUAAUCUACCUUCGAGUGGGGAAUAACGUCCGGAAACGGACGCUAAUACCGCAUAAUGCAGCGGCAUCGUAAGAUGACAGUUGUUAAAGAUUUAUCGCUUGAAGAGGAGCUUGCGGCAGAUUAGCUAGUUGGUAAGGUAAUGGCUUACCAAGGCUACGAUCUGUAACCGGUCUUAGAGGACGGUCGGUCACACUAACACUGAAUAACGGGUCAGACUCCUACGGGAGGCAGCAGUCGGGAAUUUUGGGCAAUGGGCGAAAGCCUGACCCAGCAACGCCGCGUGAAGGAUGAAGUAUUUCGGUAUGUAAACUUCGAAAGAAUAGGAAGAAUAAAUGACGGUACUAUUUAUAAGGUCCGGCUAACUACGUG